CAAGUCGAACGGCAGCGCGGGGCAACCUGGCGGCGAGUGGCGAACGGGUGAGUAAUAUAUCGGAACGUACCCUGGAGUGGGGGAUAACGUAGCGAAAGUUACGCUAAUACCGCAUACGAUCUAAGGAUGAAAGUGGGGGAUCGCAAGACCUCAUGCUCCUGGAGCGGCCGAUAUCUGAUUAGCUAGUUGGUAGGGUAAAAGCCUACCAAGGCAUCGAUCAGUAGCUGGUCUGAGAGGACGACCAGCCACACUGGAACUGAGACACGGUCCAGACUCCUACGGGAGGCAGCAGUGGGGAAUUUUGGACAAUGGGCGCAAGCCUGAUCCAGCAAUGCCGCGUGAGUGAAGAAGGCCUUCGGGUUGUAAAGCUCUUUUGUCAGGGAAGAAACGGUGAGGGCUAAUAUCCCUUGCUAAUGACGGUACCUGAAGAAUAAGCACCGGCUAACUACGUGCCAGCAGCCGCGGUAAUACGUAGGGUGCAAGCGUUAAUCGGAAUUACUGGGCGUAAAGCGUGCGCAGGCGGUUUUGUAAGUUUGUCGUGAAAUCCCCGGGCUCAACCUGGGAAUGGCGAUGAAGACUGCAAGGCUAGAGUUUGGCAGAGGGGGGUAGAAUUCCACGUGUAGCAGUGAAAUGCGUAGAUAUGUGGAGGAACACCGAUGGCGAAGGCAGCCCCCUGGGUCAAAACUGACGCUCAUGCACGAAAGCGUGGGGAGCAAACAGGAUUAGAUACCCUGGUAGUCCACGCCCUAAACGAUGUCUACUAGUUGUCGGGUCUUAAUUGACUUGGUAACGCAGCUAACGCGUGAAGUAGACCGCCUGGGGAGUACGGUCGCAAGAUUAAAACUCAAAGGAAUUGACGGGGACCCGCACAAGCGGUGGAUGAUGUGGAUUAAUUCGAUGCAACGCGAAAACCUUACCUACCC
rnacentral:rRNA from 1 species